GAUGAACGCUGGCGGCGUGCCUAAUACAUGCAAGUCGAGCGAACAGAUGAGGAGCUUGCUCCUCUGACGUUAGCGGCGGACGGGUGAGUAACACGUGGAUAACCUACCUAUAAGACUGGGAUAACUUCGGGAAACCGGAGCUAAUACCGGAUAAUAUAUUGAACCGCAUGGUUCAAUAGUGAAAGACGGUUUUGCUGUCACUUAUAGAUGGAUCCGCGCCGCAUUAGCUAGUUGGUAAGGUAACGGCUUACCAAGGCAACGAUGCGUAGCCGACCUGAGAGGGUGAUCGGCCACACUGGAACUGAGACACGGUCCAGACUCCUACGGGAGGCAGCAGUAGGGAAUCUUCCGCAAUGGGCGAAAGCUUGACGGAGCAACGCCGCGUGAGUGAUGAAGGUCUUCAGAUCGUAAAACUCUGUUAUUAGGGAAGAACAAAUGUGUAAGUAACUAUGCACGUCUUGACGGUACCUAAUCAGAAAGCCACGGCUAACUACGUG
rnacentral:rRNA from 1 species